rnacentral:rRNA from 1 species
AGCGAACGCUGGCGGCAGGCCUAACACAUGCAAGUCGAGCGCCCCGCAAGGGGAGCGGCAGACGGGAGAGUAACACGUGGGAACGUGCCCUUUGGUUCGGAACAACCCAGGGAAACUUGGGCUAAUACCGGAUAAGCCCUCACGGGGAAAGAUUUAUCGCCGAAGGAUCGGCCCGCGUCUGAUUAGCUAGUUGGUGGGGUAAUGGCCCACCAAGGCGACGAUCAGUAGCUGGUCUGAGAGGAUGAUCAGCCUCACUGGGACUGAGACACGGCCCAGACUCCUACGGGAGGCAGCAGUGGGGAAUAUUGGACAAUGGGCGCAAGCCUGAUUCAGCCAUGCCGCGUGGGUGAUGAAGGCCCUAGGGUUGUAAAGCCCUUUCGGCGGGGAAGAUAAUGACGGUACCCGCAGAAGAAGCCCCGGCUAACUUCGUGCCAGCCGCCGCCGUAACAC